GAUGAACGCUGGCGGCGUGCCUAAUACAUGCAAGUCGAGCGAACGGACGAGAAGCUUGCUUUUCUGAUGUUAGCGGCGGACGGGUGAGUAACACGUGGAUAACCUACCUAUAAGACUGGGAUAACUUCGGGAAACCGGAGCUAAUACCGGAUAAUAUAUUGAACCGCAUGGUUCAAAAGUGAAAGACGGUCUUGCUGUCACUUAUAGAUGGAUCCGCGCUGCAUUAGCUAGUUGGUAAGGUAACGGCUUACCAAGGCGACGAUGCGUAGCCGACCUGAGAGGGUGAUCGGCCACACUGGAACUGAGACACGGUCCAGACUCCUACGGGAGGCAGCAGUAGGGAAUCUUCCGCAAUGGGCGAAAGCCUGACGGAGCAACGCCGCGUGAGUGAUGAAGGUCUUCGGAUCGUAAAACUCUGUUAUUAGGGAAGAACAUAUGUGUAAGUAACUGUGCACAUCUUGACGGUACCUAAUCAGAAAGCCACGGCUAACUACGUG
rnacentral:rRNA from 1 species